rnacentral:rRNA from 1 species
GAUGAACGCUGGCGGCGUGCCUAAUACAUGCAAGUCGAGCGAACAGAUGAGAAGCUUGCUUCUCUGAUGUUAGCGGCGGACGGGUGAGUAACACGUGGGUAACCUACCUAUAAGACUGGGAUAACUCCGGGAAACCGGGGCUAAUACCGGAUAAUAUUUUGAACCGCAUGGUUCAAUAGUGAAAGGCGGUUUCGGCUGUCACUUAUAGAUGGACCCGCGCCGUAUUAGCUAGUUGGUAAGGUAACGGCUUACCAAGGCGACGAUACGUAGACGACCUGGGAGGGUGAUCGGCCACCCUGGAACUGAGACACGGUCCAGACUCCUACGGGAGACAGCAGUAGGGAAUCUUCCGCAAUGGGCGAAAGCCUGACGGAGCAACGCCGCGUGAGUGAUGAAGGUCUUCGGAUCGUAAAACUCUGUUGUUAGGGAAGAACAAAUUUGUUAGUAACUGAACAAGUCUUGACGGUACCUAACCAGAAAGCCACGGCUAACUACGUGCCAGCCGCCGCAGUAA